GACGAACGCUGGCGGCGCGCUCAACACAUGCGAGUCGAACGGAAAGGCCUGCUUUCCCUUGUGGAUUGCGGGUACUCGAGUGGCGAACGGGUGAGUAACACGUGAGUGAUCUGCCCCCAACUUGGGUAUAAGCCUGGGAAACUGGGUCUAAUUCCCGAUAGGACUGCAGGGUGGUGCCUGUGGUGGAAAACGAUUUUCUAGUGGUUGGGGAUGAGCUCGCGGCCUAUCAGCUUGUUGGUGGGGUAAUGGCCUACCAAGGCGGCGACGGGUAGCCGGCCUGGGAGGGUGGACGGCCACAUUGGGACUGAGAUACGGCCCAGACUCCUACGGGAGGCAGCAGUGGGGAAUAUUGCACGAUGGGCGGAAGCCUGAUGCAGCGACGCCGCGUGGGGGAUGACGGCCUUCGGGUUGUAAACUCCUUUCGACCGCGAGGAAGCCACCUGGUUGGAAGGGUGGUGACGGUAGUGGUAGAAGAAGCACCGGCUAACUACGUG
rnacentral:rRNA from 1 species